rnacentral:rRNA from 1 species
UACGUAGGUGGCAAGCGUUAUCCGGAUUUAUUGGGCGUAAAGCGAGCGCAAGCGGUUGCUUAGGUCUGAUGUGAAAGCCUUCGGCUUAACCGAAGAAGUGCAUCGGAAACCGGGCAACUUGAGUGCAGAAGAGGACAGUGGAACUCCAUGUGUAGCGGUGAAAUGCUUAGAUAUCACGCAGAACUCCGAUUGCGAAGGCAGCAUACCGGCGCCCAACUGACGCUCAGGCACGAAAGCGUGGGUAUCGAACAGG